CACUUGUAGUAGCUCCUUGGAUUGGGAUUUCCUUUUACUACUUUCUGUCCAUAUUUCCUCCAUCUAUACCCAUCAUCAAGUAUGUCAAUAUCACUUGUUGUCUGAACCACAAUUCUAGGUUCUCUAACAGUCCUGCUCCCAGCAGCCAAAAUACCCUCAUUUUCAUUCUGUCCCUUGAAUCUUUUGGCUUCAGGUUCAUUUUCAUCUUCAUCUCCUCCUGAAUUACUAAUCGGUGAGCUUUGGUCGAAUUCAUCAUCUCCAAUCGAAAUUGAAGAGUCCUCUUGCAUGGUGACGGACUCCAAUGGGGCAACAGAUUGAUCUGAGAUUUCUGAGCUGACUCCUGCAGAAGGUUGCAUAGACUGAGAGGAUGAUCUUGUGGACUGAGGCUUGGGAUGGUUGUGACUUCCUUUAUAGACUAUUUCAGUAAUCUGUCCAUCCAAAGAUCUCUCUACCUUUUU
rnacentral:misc_RNA from 1 species